GAUGAAGAACGUAGCGAAAUGCGAUACGUAAUGUGAAUUGCAGAAUUCAGUGAAUCAUCGAAUCUUUGAACGCACAUUGCGCCCCUUGGUAUUCCGAGGGGCAUGCCUGUUCGAGCGUCAUUAUAACCCCUCAAGCUCAGCUUGGUGUUGGGGCCUGCUGCACUGGCAGCCCCUAAAAUCAGUGGCGGCGCCAUCUGGCUCUAAGCGUAGUAAUUCUUCUCGCUAUGGAGUCCUGGUGGAUGCUUGCCAUCAACCCCCAAUUUUUCUAUGGUUGACCUCGGAUCAGGUAGGGAUACCCGCUGAACUUAAGCAUAUCAAUAAGCGGAGGA
rnacentral:misc_RNA from 1 species